rnacentral:rRNA from 1 species
CCCUGCCAUUUGUACACACCGCCCGUCGCUCCUACCGAUUGAAUGAUCCGGUGAAGUGCUCGGAUUGUAGCGAUGCCAGCGGUCCGCCGCUGGCGACGAUAUAAGAAGUUCAUUUAACCUUAUCAUUU